GCUUCAUAGCAUAGAGGAAGUGCACCGGGCUCAUAACCCGGAGGCCCUCCGAUCGAAACAGAAUUAUAUCA